AGUGAACGCUGGCGGUAGGCCUAACACAUGCAAGUCGAACGGCAGCACAGUAAGAGCUUGCUCUUACGGGUGGCGAGUGGCGGACGGGUGAGGAAUACAUCGGAAUCUACUUUUUCGUGGGGGAUAACGUAGGGAAACUUAUGCUAAUACCGCAUACGACCUACGGGUGAAAGCAGGGGAUCUUCGGACCUUGCGCGAUUGAAUGAGCCGAUGUCGGAUUAGCUAGUUGGCGGGGUAAAGGCCCACCAAGGCGACGAUCCGUAGCUGGUCUGAGAGGAUGAUCAGCCACACUGGAACUGGGACACGGUCCAGACUCCUACGGGAGGCAGCAGUGGGGAAUAUUGGACAAUGGGCGCAAGCCUGAUCCAGCCAUACCGCGUGGGUGAAGAAGGCCUUCGGGUUGUAAAGCCCUUUUGUUGGGAAAGAAAAGCAGCAGGUUAAUACCCCGCUGUUCUGACGGUACCCAAAGAAUAAGCACCGGCUAACUUCGUG
rnacentral:rRNA from 1 species